rnacentral:tRNA from 1 species
AUCUUUCUAGUAUAAUUCAAUAUGAAUGACUUCCAAUCAUACGAUCCCGGUUUAAAUCCGAGGAAAGGUA